rnacentral:rRNA from 1 species
AGUGAACGCUGGCGGUAGGCCUAACACAUGCAAGUCGAACGGCAGCACAGUAAGAGCUUGCUCUUACGGGUGGCGAGUGGCGGACGGGUGAGGAAUACAUCGGAAUCUACUUUUUCGUGGGGGAUAACGUAAGGAAACUUACGCUAAUACCGCAUACGACCUACGGGUGAAAGCAGGGGAUCUUCGGACCUUGCGCGAUUGAAUGAGCCGAUGUCGGAUUAGCUAGUUGGCGGGGUAAAGGCCCACCAAGGCGACGAUCCGUAGCUGGUCUGAGAGGAUGAUCAGUCACACUGGAACUGAGACACGGUCCAGACUCCUACGGGAGGCAGCAGUGGGGAAUAUUGGACAAUGGGCGCAAGCCUGAUCCAGCCAUACCGCGUGGGUGAAGAAGGCCUUCGGGUUGUAAAGCCCUUUUGUUGGGAAAGAAAAGCAGCAGGUUAAUACCCCGCUGUUCUGACGGUACCCAAAGAAUAAGCACCGGCUAACUUCGUG